AUGAACGCUGGCGGCGUGCCUAAUACAUGCAAGUCGAGCGCACAGACGAGGAGCUUACUCCUCUGACGUUAGCGGCGGACGGGUGAGUAACACGUGGAUAACCUACCUAUAAGACUGGGAUAACUUCGGGAAACCGGAGCUAAUACCGGAUAACAUGUUGAACCGCAUGGUUCAACAGUGAAAGACGGUCUUGCUGUCACUUAUAGAUGGAUCCGCGUCGCAUUAGCUAGUUGGUAAGGUAACGGCUUACCAAGGCAACGAUGCGUAGCCGACCUGAGAGGGUGAUCGGCCACACUGGAACUGAGACACGGUCCAGACUCCUACGGGAGGCAGCAGUAGGGAAUCUUCCGCAAUGGGCGAAAGCCUGACGGAGCAACGCCGCGUGAGUGAAGAAGGUCUUCGGAUCGUAAAACUCUGUUAUUAGGGAAGAACAAAUGUGUAAGUAACUAUGCACGUCUUGACGGUACCUAAUCAGAAAGCCACGGCUAACUACGUG
rnacentral:rRNA from 1 species